AACGAACGCCGGCGGCAUGCCUAACACAUGCAAGUCGAACGAGACCUUCGGGUCUAGUGGCGCACGGGUGCGUAACGCGUGGGAAUCUGCCCUUAGGUACGGAAUAACUCAGGGAAACCUGAGCUAAUACCGUAUAAUGACUUCGGUCCAAAGAUUUAUCGCCUAAGGAUGAGCCCGCGUCGGAUUAGCUAGUUGGUGAGGUAAAAGCUCACCAAGGCGACGAUCCGUAGCUGGUCGAGAGGAUGAUCAGCCACACUGGGACUGAGACACGGCCCAGACUCCUACGGGAGGCAGCAGUGGGGAAUAUUGGACAAUGGGCGAAAGACCUGAUCCAGCAAUGCCGCGUGAGUGAUGAAGGCCUUAGGGUUGUAAAGCUCUUUUACCCGAGAUGAUAAUGACAGUACCGGG
rnacentral:rRNA from 1 species